rnacentral:rRNA from 1 species
ACGACGCUGGCGGCGUGCCUAAUACAUGCAAGUCGAGCGAACAGAAGGGAGCUUGCUCCCGGAUGUUAGCGGCGGACGGGUGAGUAACACGUGGGUAACCUGCCUGUAAGACUGGGAUAACUCCGGGAAACCGGAGCUAAUACCGGAUAGUUCCUUGAACCGCAUGGUUCAAGGAUGAAAGACGGUUUCGGCUGUCACUUACAGAUGGACCCGCGGCGCAUUAGCUAGUUGGUGGGGUAAUGGCUCACCAAGGCGACGAUGCGUAGCCGACCUGAGAGGGUGAUCGGCCACACUGGGACUGAGACACGGCCCAGACUCCUACGGGAGGCAGCAGUAGGGAAUCUUCCGCAAUGGACGAAAGUCUGACGGAGCAACGCCGCGUGAGUGAUGAAGGUUUUCGGAUCGUAAAGCUCUGUUGUUAGGGAAGAACAAGUGCGAGAGUAACUGCUCGCACCUUGACGGUACCUAACCAGAAAGCCACGGCUAACUACGUGCCAGCAGCCGCGGUAAUACGUAGGUGGCAAGCGUUGUCCGGAAUUAUUGGGCGUACCGGGCUCGCAGGCGGUUUCUUAAGUCUGAUGUGAAAGCCCCCGGCUCAACCGGGGAGGGUCAUUGGAAACUGGGAAACUUGAGUGCAGAAGAGGAGAGUGGAAUUCCACGUGUAGCGGUGAAAUGCGUAGAGAUGUGGAGGAACACCAGUGGCGAAGGCGACUCUCUGGUCUGUAACUGACGCUGAGGAGCGAAAGCGUGGGGAGCGAACAGGAUUAGAUACCCUGGUAGUCCACGCCGUAAACGAUGAGUGCUAAGUGUUAGGGGGUUUCCGCCCCUUAGUGCUGCAGCUAACGCAUUAAGCACUCCGCCUGGGGAGUACGGUCGCAAGACUGAAACUCAAAGGAAUUGACGGGGGCCCGCACAAGCGGUGGAGCAUGUGGUUUAAUUCGAAGCAACGCGAAGAACCUUACCAGGUCUUGACAUCCUCUGACAACCCUAGAGAUAGGGCUUUCCCUUCGGGGACAGAGUGACAGGUGGUGCAUGGUUGUCGUCAGCUCGUGUCGUGAGAU